AGCAAAGAUGAUGAAGAAACUAAUUCCAUCUGAAUUAUUCAUGUAGAAUAAUUUCAUAUCAUAAUGGUCUUCAAAGUUCUCUGAUUGCU